CACGUAGGCACCAAGCGUUGUCCGGAUUUAUUGGGCGUAAAGAGCUCGUAGGCGGUUCGGUAAGUCGGGUGUGAAACUUUGGGCUCAACCCAAAGCCUGCACUCGAUACUGCUGUGACUUGAGUCCGGUAGGGGAGUGGGGAAUUCCUGGUGUAGCGGUGGAAGUGACGCAGAUAUCAGGAGGAACACCGGUGGCGAAGGCGGGUCUCUGGGCCGAUACUGACGCUGAGGAGCGAAAGCGUGGGGAGCGAACAGG
rnacentral:rRNA from 1 species